UACGGGGGGGGCAAGCGUUGUUCGGAAUUACUGGGCGUAAAGCGCGUGUAGGCGGCCAGGUAAGUCGGAUGUGAAAGCCCGGGGCCCAACCCCGGAACUGCACCCGAUACUGCCUGGCUGGAGUCCCGGAGAGGAUGGCGGAAUUUCCGGUGUAGAGGUGAAAUUCGUAGAUAUCGGAAGGAACACCAGUGGCGAAGGCGGCCAUCUGGACGGUGACUGACGCUGAGACGCGAAAGCGUGGGGAGCAAACAGG
rnacentral:rRNA from 1 species